AGUGAACGCUGGCGGUAGGCCUAACACAUGCAAGUCGAACGGCAGCACAGUAAGAGCUUGCUCUUACGGGUGGCGAGUGGCGGACGGGUGAGGAAUACAUCGGAAUCUACUUUUUCGUGGGGGAUAACGUAGGGAAACUUACGCUAAUACCGCAUACGACCUACGGGUGAAAGCAGGGGAUCUUCGGACCUUGCGCGAUUGAAUGAGCCGAUGUCGGAUUAGCUAGUUGGCGGGGUAAAGGCCCACCAAGGCGACGAUCCGUAUCUGGUCUGAGAGGAUGAUCAGCCACACUGGAACUGAGACACGGUCCAGACUCCUACGGGAGGCAGCAGUGGGGAAUAUUGGACAAUGGGCGCAAGCCUGAUCCAGCCAUACCGCGUGGGUGAAGAAGGCCUUCGGGUUGUAAAGCCCUUUUGUUGGGAAAGAAAAGCAGCAGGUUAAUACCCCGCUGUUCUGACGGUACCCAAAGAAUAAGCACCGGCUAACUUCGUG
rnacentral:rRNA from 1 species